rnacentral:rRNA from 1 species
AUUGAACGCUGGCGGCAGGCCUAACACAUGCAAGUCGAACGAGUGGCGGACGGGUGAGUAAUGUCUGGGAAUCUGCCUGAUGGAGGGGGAUAACUACUGGAAACGGUAGCUAAUACCGUAUACCAUCGGCUAGGCCCAGUUGGGAUUAGCUUGUUGGUGGGGUAACGGCUCACCAAGGGGACGAUCCCUAGCUGGUCUGAGAGGAUGAUCAGUCACACUGGAACUGAGACACGGUCCAGACUCCUACGGGAGGCAGCAGUGGGGAAUAUUGCACAAUGGGCGAAAGCCUGAUGCAGCCAUGCCGCGUGUAUGAAGAAGGCCUUCGGGUUGUAAAGUACUUUCAGCGGGGAGGCGUUACCCGCAGAAUAAGCACCGGCUAACUCCGUGCCAGCAGCCGCGGUAAUUC